CUCUCCCCAAGCUUCUCAUCUUUAGCUUCCAAACAAAGAAAGAAGUGGAGAUCUUUCUCCUCUUCUCUUGAAGAAGAGGUUCCUUAGGAUCUUGAGAAGCUUUGUCGAGGUGAAACUUCAAGGAAGGGAAAAGAGCCGAUGGAGUAGUAACACUUGAGUUUAUAGCUUGCCAAGUUUGUGUUAGUUCAUUGUAGCGAUGCGGACGUGAAGUGCUUAAAAAGAUUCUAUCUUCGGUGCAUUCAGUCUAAGUUUUGUAUAUGUUUAUUUUCCCUUCCAUGGCUUGUAUUAGGAGUGAUCCAUUAGUGUGUAUAUUGACUUAUCAGCACUUAGUUUCCUUCUUUAAAAACCCUGUAUUUGUUGUUGUCAAAUAGUUGUAUAAGAAACCAUACUCAAGGUUUGGUUUGUAAUAUGGUUAUGUAUCUUAAAUUGUGAACCAUUAUGUUUUCCCUACCUUCAUGUUGUUACGAUGGUCACAUACAGAAAAUUGUUAUAGCAAUAUA